rnacentral:rRNA from 1 species
AUUGAACGCUGGCGGCAGGCCUAACACAUGCAAGUCGAGCGGUAACAUUUCAAAAGCUUGCUUUUGAAGAUGACGAGCGGCGGACGGGUGAGUAAUGCCUGGGAAUUUGCCCAUUUGUGGGGGAUAACAGUUGGAAACGACUGCUAAUACCGCAUACGCCCUACGGGGGAAAGGCAGGGGACCUUCGGGCCUUGCGCGAUUGAAUGAGCCGAUGUUGGAUUAGCUAGUUGGCGGGGUAAAGGCCCACCAAGGCGACGAUCCGUAGCUGGUCUGAGAGGAUGAUCAGCCACACUGGAACUGAGACACGGUCCAG